rnacentral:rRNA from 1 species
GAUGAACGCUGGCGGCGUGCCUAAUACAUGCAAGUCGAGCGAACAGAUGAGGAGCUUGCUCCUCUGACGUUAGCGGCGGACGGGUGAGUAACACGUGGAUAACCUACCUAUAAGACUGGGAUAACUUCGGGAAACCGGAGCUAAUACCGGAUAAUAUAUUGAACCGUAUGGUUCAAUAGUGAAAGACGGUCUUGCUGUCACUUAUAGAUGGAUCCGCGCCGCAUUAGCUAGUUGGUAAGGUAACGGCUUACCAAGGCAACGAUGCGUAGCCGACCUGAGAGGGUGAUCGGCGACACUGGAGCGGGGACGCGGUCCAGGCGCCUACGGGAGGCAGCAAUAGGGAAUCGUCCGCAAUGGGCGGAAGCCUGACGGAGCAGCGCCGCGUGAGUGAUGAAGGUCUUCGGAUCGUAAAACUCUGUUAUUAGGGAAAAACAAAUGUGUAAGUAACUAUGCACGUCUUGACGGUACCUGGUCAGAAAGCCACGGCUAACUACGUG